GAAAUGCGAUAAGUAAUGUGAAUUGCAGAAUUCAGUGAAUCAUCGAAUCUUUGAACGCACCUUGCGCUCCUUGGUAUUCCUUGGAGCAUGCCUGUUUGAGUAUCAUGAAAUCUUCAAAGUAAAUCUUUUGUUAACUCAAUUGGUUUCUACUUUGGUAUUGGAGGUCUUUGCAGCUUCACACCUGCUCCUCUUUGUUCAUUAGCUGGAUCUCAGUGUUAUGCUUGGUUCCACUCGGCGUGAUAAGUUAUCUAUCGCUGAGGACACUGUAAAAGGUGGCCAAGGUAAAUGCAGAUGAACCGCUUCUAAUAGUCCAUUGAUUUGGACAAUACUUUUAUGAUCUGAUCUCAAAUCAGGUAGGACUACCCGCUGAACUUAAGC
rnacentral:misc_RNA from 1 species